UGCACUAGUUUCACCAUGCCCAUGCACCAUGUUUAUAUGUGAUAGGAUGAUGCAUUAGUUUCACGAAGGUGACGCAUUGCAUAAUGUGCUAUGUAUAUGAUGUGAUGGGUGGACCAAGGCGACCUCAAUAGCCCACAAGUCUGUCAUGAGUCUUUGUCAGUCGGGUGAGUACAUAUAGGAAAGCCCCAUGAGAGCUCCUUCGGGGCCAAGUUUUGACAGAGGGAAUGUUGGGGUCAUGUCUAACCCUGAAGGGAAGGACGUUACGUGAACCCUCUAAAAUCACCCGCAAGAGGAAGAGAUUUGCUAGCGUGAACUCAAGCGGGGGUGAGAUGUUUGUUGUGAUAUAAUUGUGAUAUGACGCAUCUCAUGAAUGCAUGAAUAAGAAGAAUAAUUGAAUGAAAUAAAAGGUCUUUAUAAUAAAAUACAUAAAAAGGGUGGAACAUUAAAAUGAAUAAUAAUAUACCUAAAAAUGGAGGAACUAAAUCAAAUGUUUUUCUCUGUUUCUACUCACUGGGCUCUUGUAGCUCACCCCAUUCCCUUAACCCCAGUUUUGCAG
rnacentral:lncRNA from 1 species